CCAUCAAAGAGGCAGCCUCAUACGGUUAUGCAACAUCAUUGAUGAAGGCCCUUCAGGAAAGCUACACCCAUUCACCUGCAGCUCUUCGAGAGACAAGUCCAAUGAUUUAGUUGUAAGUAUUUAUUUUAGUUGUUAUUUAUCUUCUUUCCUUCUGUCCCUGUCAUCUCAUUUGGUGGUGGUUUCCUGUAUUCUGCAUGUUUUGUGUGUUGUUGCUUUGGUUUUACUUUGCACUAAAUCAUUACUUUUUUUGUCUUUGUAAGUGGCAUUAAUUGUCGCUGUACCCCAUUCAAGGGUCCUGCAUGCUGCAUGUCUGCUCCUCUGUCUGUUAUUUGCAUGAAAUUUGUUUUAUGUAAUUCAAAAUAAUUUACCAAUCAUUUUACCUGUGCCUUGUCAACCUCUGUGUGCGGUGUUGUCUGGGUUCACUGUGUGUCAGCUUGAUAUGCUUUUGCAUGUAUCACU